GGUCAGCUGACACAUCCCUGCCAAUCUCCGGCAGACCCUCCCUCCCAGAUCCUCCUUCUUCCUGGACAGCAUCCAUGUUGAAGGCAGCUUCAACAUGGAUGCUGUCCAGGAGGUGGGAGGGUCUAGGAGGGAGGGUCUGCCGGAGAUUGGCAGGGAUGUGUCAGCUG